GUACUGCCGAAGAGUCCCAAACCAGGUUGACGAAACAGCUGUCCAGUAC
rfam:Trichobilharzia regenti genome assembly, scaffold: TRE_scaffold0076736